rnacentral:rRNA from 1 species
GACGAACGCUGGCGGCGUGCUUAACACAUGCAAGUCGAACGGAAAGGCCCCUUUGGGGGUCCUCGAGUGGCGAACGGGUGAGUAACACGUGAGUAACCUGCCCUUGACUUCGGGAUAACUUCAGGAAACUGGGGCUAAUACCGGAUAGGAAUCCUUGCUGCAUGGUGGGGGUUGGAAAGCUUCGGCGGUUUUGGAUGGACUCGCGGCUUAUCAGCUUGUUGGUGGGGUAGUGGCUUACCAAGGCUUUGACGGGUAGCCGGCCUGAGAGGGCGACCGGCCACAUUGGGACUGAGAUACGGCCCAGACUCCGACGGGAGGCAGCAGUGGGGAAUAUUGCACAAUGGGCGGAAGCCUGAUGCAGCAACGCCGCGUGCGGGAUGACGGCCUUCGGGUUGUAAACCGCGUUCAGCAGGGGCGAAGCUUGUGGUGACGGUACCUGCAGAAGAAGCACCGGCUAACUACGUG